rnacentral:lncRNA from 1 species
AUUUGUAUCUCCAGUGUCUGGCACAAUGCUUGGGGGUGAGGAAGAACUCAAUAAAUGUUUGUUGGAUGAAUAAGUAAUAUUUGUGAAAGUGUUUUGUAGACUAUGAAACUGCACAAACGAAAGAUCACAAGGAUGAUUGCUUAUGAAGCCCAGAAAUUGAAGUGGAACUCCUUUCUUAAUGUAACACACACAUACAUAUUACACACAUUUUUUUCCUUGAAUAGUGGCUGCAUUUUUUUUAAUGGAACACUGGGCUACUUUUAAAUAUUGAAAUCAAAAUGUACAUGCCCACUUUUUAUUAGCAGUUGCUCCAUUUGCUCCUCCAGCUUUGGCUGGAAAACAUCUAUUUGUAUACUUAGUAUCUCUGUCCUUGGUUACCCCCAUCCCUGCCUUCUCACCCAUCUUUAGUCUGCCUUAUGGUCUUGCAUAGAUUUUCAACUGUUAGACUGUCAGGCUUGCAAGGAUGCAUUUUAAGAAAUCAGUUUCUUUGAAAGCACUUGAACCAAAAGUCAAAUGGCAUGAUGUAAACCAAUAGUCUUUCAAUGAAGAUAUGAAAACCCUCAAUAAUUACAAAUAAGGAAUCUAACCUAUUGACACCAAUUUGAUUACACUGUAUUGAUUUCUACAAAAAUAUUAUGAGAGAGCAGGCUACUUAUACUCUACUGAUCAGAUUACAAGUAUACUUAGUAAAGACAGAAAUAGUAUAGCCAUAAAAGAGUUUACCUUAAAAUGUCACCUGAUGUUAGUUGUCCCUCACUGAUUCAAGUAAUUUCCUUUAUUGAGGUGGAUCUGCCUGUUGGUGGAGAACCCUAGACUGCAUGCAGCCAUGCACAUGAUCUGGAGACACAGCAGAGACAAGGUCUUUGUCUGUUGCUCAGGACGGAGUGUAGUGGUGCCAUAGCACACUGUAAUCUUGAAUUUCUGGACUACUGGCAUACACCACCAUGCUUAGGUUCGGGCCACAACAUCCGUGACUUUACCGGUUUUGGUCUCUUCCUUGUAACUUUCGGCUCCAGGAUGCUGCGCAGCUCCUCUCUGCACUAUCUAUCAGAACGUUGCUCUGCGUGCUUGAAAGUUUCGCCAAACAGAAGUACACAAAAACAAACAGAGGCGAAACACAAAUCCCCUCAGCCCUGGAGGAAAAGGCCUUGAAGCUCUUCCAGUGCAGAGGCCACGCAGAGGACAUGCUCCUACCUGUGCACAUCGGCCACGCCUGGGGUGCCUCCUGGAGUCCAGGCUGCUGGCGAUGGAAUCCAUCAUGUUGCUGAUGUCACUGAUUACGCCCAUACGUUGACCUGUGUUACUGAAAGAGAAAAGUUUAUUGUACCCAUCAAAGCUAGAGGGGCACGAGCCAUUCUCGAUUUUCCUGACAAGCUGAAUUUUUCCACUUGUCCUGUCAAAUACAGCACCCAGAAGAUUCUGCUGGUACGAAACAUUGGCAACAAAAAUGCUGUAUUUCACAUCAAAACUUGUAGGCCUUUCUCUAUAGAACCAGCUAUUGGAACUCUUAAUGUGGGAGAGUCCAUGCAACUGGAAGUGGAGUUUGAGCCACAGAGUGUGGGCGAUCACAGUGGAAGACUUAUCGUGUGUUAUGACACAGGUGAAAAGGUGUUUGUAUCUCUCUAUGGAGCUGCCAUAGACAUGAAUAUAAGGCUGGAUAAGAAUUCCUUGACCAUCGAGAAAACCUACAUAUCUCUGGCCAAUCAGCGAACUAUAACCAUUCACAAUCGCAGUAAUAUCAUUGCCCAUUUCCUGUGGAAGGUAUUUGCUACCCAGCAAGAAGAGGACAGAGAAAAAUAUAGGGCCUGUGAUGAUCUGAUCAAAGAGGAGAAGGAUGAGACUGAUGAGUUUUUUGAAGAGUGCAUUACUGAUCCUUUACUCCGAGAACAUCUUUCUGUUCUGUCCCGAACCUUUGCGAAUCAAAGGAGGCUGGUGCAGGGAGACAGCAAACUGUUCUUCAAUAACGUUUUCACUGUGGAGCCCCUGGAAGGUGAUGUCUGGCCCAACUCAUCAGCUGAAAUCACCGUGUACUUUAACCCACUAGAAGCCAAGCUCUAUCAACAGACCAUUUACUGCGACAUUUUAGGCCGAGAAAUCCGUCUGCCCCUCCGAAUCAAAGGGGAAGGCAUGGGACCUAAGAUUCACUUCAACUUUGAAUUGCUGGAUAUUGGGAAAGUUUUCACUGGAUCUGCACAUUGUUAUGAGGCGAUACUGUACAACAAAGACAGCAUCGAUGCUCUCUUCAACAUGACCCCUCCAACUUCAGCUUUGGGGGCCUGCUUUGUUUUCAGUCCCAAGGAAGGCAUCAUUGAACCAAGUGGAGUCCAAGCUAUCCAGAUCUCCUUCAGCUCUACCAUCCUGGGAAACUUUGAAGAAGAGUUCCUGGUCAAUGUCAAUGGGUCACCUGAGCCUGUGAAACUGACCAUUAGAGGCUGUGUCAUUGGACCUACCUUCCAUUUUAAUGUUCCAGCUCUGCACUUUGGUGAUGUUUCCUUUGGGUUUCCUCAUACCUUGAUAUGUUCCCUCAAUAAUACCUCUUUGAUCCCCAUGACUUACAAACUGCGUAUCCCUGGGGAUGGCCUUGGCCAUAAAAGCAUUUCAUAUUGUGAGCAGCAUGUGGACUACAAAAGACCGUCUUGGACCAAGGAAGAAAUAUCCUCAAUGAAACCAAAAGAA